AAACCGAACCGAAACCGAACCGAUAUCCGGAUUGAACACCUCUAGCUGCAAGCCUCCAACUGCUUAAACAAGUCCAUGUCUAGUAAACUUUCACAUGUCUUUGAAUAUUUUGUUAGAAAUGGGAUUGUUAAGUUAUGGUAUGUUGAAAUAUAUUGGGUAUAUUCAGUAUUUAUACGAUAGGAAACUAUAUUUUCAAUCUCAAUUAAUUAUGGAAAUUUGGCAAUGACUAGACAAACUAAUCAUUGUUUUCAUAGACAAGAGACAAAACAUUGCAAGGAAAACAAAAAAGAAUUCUCCAAGUUACUACAUUUCAUAUAUUUAAAAUAUUAAGAAAAAUGAAAAAAAAUUAUGUUGCUACCACUAUUGGUUGAAUGUCCACAUAAAACCAUAUACUAAAAGUUUUAUAUUAUUUUAAAAAAAAACAAAAAAAAUAUUUUAAUUAAACAUUUAAAUGAAAAGAGGCAUGCAUUUAGAACGGUCUAUAAAAAUAGGAACCUGUAUCAGUGUGUCAGUGAUCUCCCUCCCCAAUCGAAUAUUCUACCGAUCGCUUUACUUUCCCAAAUUCAAAAAUUUCCCGGAAAAUUUGUAAAGAAUCGUUACUUUCCCGAUUCAUUUCCCCAGUGAUAACCUAAGAUCUU
rnacentral:lncRNA from 1 species